UCAGGCCUAACACAUGCAAGUCGAGCGGCAGCGACAACAUUGAACCUUCGGGGAAUUUGUUGGGCGGCGAGCGGCGGACGGGUGAGUGAUGCUUGGGGAUCUGCCCGGUUGUGGGGGACAACAGUUGGAAACGACUGCUAAUACCGCAUAAUCCCUUCGGGGCAAAGCAGGGGACCUUCGGGCCUUGCGCGAUCGGAUGAACCCAAGUGAGAUUAGCUAGUUGGUGAGGUAAUGGCUCACCAAGGCGACGAUCUCUAGCUGGUUUGAGAGGAUGAUCAGCCACACUGGAACUGAGACACGGUCCAGACUCCUACGGGAGGCAGCAGUGGGGAAUAUUGCACAAUGGGCGAAAGCCUGAUGCAGCCAUGCCGCGUGUGUGAAGAAGGCCUUCGGGUUGUAAAGCACUUUCAGCGAGGAGGAAAGGUUGACGGCUAAUACCCGUCAGCUGUGACGUUACUCGCAGAAGAAGCACCGGCUAACUUCGUGCCAGCAGCCGCGGUAAUACGAGGGGUGCAAGCGUUAAUCGGAAUUACUGGGCGUAAAGCGCAUGCAGGCGGUCUGGUCAGUCAGAUGUGAAAGCCCCGGGCUCAACCCGGGAAUUGCAUUUGAUACUGCCAGACUAGAGUCCUUGAGAGGGGGGUAGAAUUUCAGGUGUAGCGGUGAAAUGCGUAGAGAUCUGAAGGAAUACCAGUGGCGAAGG
rnacentral:rRNA from 1 species